AGACCAUGCCUAUACCUACCA
rnacentral:miRNA from 1 species